CGGCGUGCUUAACACAUGCAAGUCGAGCGAUGAAGUUUCCUUCGGGAAACGGAUUAGCGGCGGACGGGUGAGUAACACGUGGGUAACCUGCCUCAUAGAGUGGAAUAGCCUUCCGAAAGGAAGAUUAAUACCGCAUAAUGUUGAAAGAUGGCAUCAUCAUUCAACCAAAGGAGCAAUCCGCUAUGAGAUGGACCCGCGGCGCAUUAGCUAGUUGGUGGGGUAACGGCCUACCAAGGCGACGAUGCGUAGCCGACCUGAGAGGGUGAUCGGCCACAUUGGGACUGAGACACGGCCCAGACUCCUACGGGAGGCAGCAGUGGGGAAUAUUGCACAAUGGGGGAAACCCUGAUGCAGCAACGCCGCGUGAGUGAUGAAGGUUUUCGGAUCGUAAAGCUCUGUCUUUGGGGAAGAUAAUGACGGUACCCAAGGAGGAAGCCACGGCUAACUACGUGCCAGCAGCCGCGGUAAUACGUAGGUGGCGAGCGUUAUCCGGAUUUACUGGGCGUAAAGGGAGCGUAGGCGGAUGAUUAAGUGGGAUGUGAAAUACCCGGGCUCAACUUGGGUGCUGCAUUCCAAACUGGUUAUCUAGAGUGCAGGAGAGGAGAGUGGAAUUCCUAGUGUAGCGGUGAAAUGCGUAGAGAUUAGGAAGAACACCAGUGGCGAAGGCGACUCUCUGGACUGUAACUGACGCUGAGGCUCGAAAGCGUGGGGAGCAAACAGGAUUAGAUACCCCGGUAGUCCACGCCGUAAACGAUGAAUACUAGGUGUGGGGGUUUCAACACCUCCGUGCCGCCGCUAACGCAUUAAGUAUUCCGCCUGGGGAGUACGGUCGCAAGAUUAAAACUCAAAGGAAUUGACGGGGACCCGCACAAGUGGCGGAGCAUGUGGUUUAAUUCGAAGCAACGCGAAGAACCGUACCUACACUUGGCAUCCCUUGCAUUACUCUUAAUCGAGGAAAUCCCUUCGGGGACAAGGUGACAGGUGGUGCAUGGUUGUCGUCAGCUCGUGUCGUGAGAUGUUGGGUUAAGUCCCGCAACGAGCGCAACCCUUGUCGUUAGUUACUACCAUUAAGUUGAGGACUCUAGCGAGACUGCCUGGGUUAACCAGGAGGAAGGUGGGGAUGACGUCAAAUCAUCAUGCCCCUUAUGUGUAGGGCUACACACGUGCUACAAUGGCUGGUACAGAGAGAUGCAAUACCGCGAGGUGGAGCCAAACUUAAAAACCAGUCUCAGUUCGGAUUGUAGGCUGAAACUCGCCUACAUGAAGCUGGAGUUACUAGUAAUCGCGAACCAGAAUGUCGCGGUGAAUACGUUCCCGGGUCUUGUACACACCGCCCGUCACACCAUGAGAGUUGGCAAUACCCGAAGUCCGUGAGCUAACCGCAAGGAGGCAGCGGCCGAAGGUAGGGUCAGCGAUUGGGGUGAAGUC
rnacentral:rRNA from 1 species